UACGGAGGGUGCGAGCGUUGUCCGGAAUCAUUGGGCGUAAAGGGCGCGUAGGUGGCCCGGUCAGUUCGUGGUGAAAGCGCGGGGACUCAACCCUGCGUCGGCCAUGAAUACUGCCGCGGCUGGAGCACUGUAGAGGCAGGCGGAAUUCCGGGUGUAGCGGUGGAAUGCGUAGAGAUCCGGAAGAACACCGGUGGCCGAAGGCGGCCUGAC
rnacentral:rRNA from 1 species